CACCUUUACAUGAUCAAUUAGAUAGGCAUUAGAUAAGGUCCUUUCUUUUUUGAAACUACCAACAAUUGUCUAAAAGCAAAACUAAUAGUACAAAUUGAUACGGUAGAGUGCUUUUAUAUAAAUUCUAAUUUCAUUAGCUGAUGAAAUUAAAGUGGCCAAAACUGAUCUUGCUCUUGCAACAUGAUAAUAAUACAUGCAUUUUUUGGUCAGCACACACUGAUAGAUCAAAACAGCAAGCCAACUUCCCUUGAUUUUUUUCCCUCAAAAAAAUGGAGACCGGAACUUACAUAAGAGAAGGAAACAAAUGAUUACAGAGAGAAUGGGAUUAUUCUAUGUCCAGAUUGCCAAUUCAACUUAAAUCCAAUAAAAAUUGAGAGCCUAAGCUUCCAAAUAUCCAAUUUGGGAUAAAAACUUGCAAGGCUAACAAUACAAUGUUGUGAGUCAUAAAAGCAACAGAGAAUUAAGAACAAUCACAUGCCUUGCUUUGGAUGAAUUGCAGCAGAGAAGUGGCUAAACUGAUAAAUGGCAAUUCCUAGCUACAUAACACCAUCAUGUCCCAUUUCCAGGUCAUAAGCAACCUCACGAUGGAGAAUCUACUAACAGUCAUGUUGGGGCAUGAGUCGGGUCCCCAACCUAUGUCAAUACGUGAGACUUUCCCAAACUCAUGGUGAGAAAAUUUUUGCAUUUGUACUUGCCAACAACCUAGUAUACCUCUGCUUCUUAAUAUCUUUGAGCAGUGGAGAUGUUUAAUUAGUUGUUAAACAGAACACUAUAUCUCCUUCCUGCCUCAGGUUGGAUACUGGAUGAACACUAGAAACUUCCAAUACCCGGCUGCUUAGCUGUAUCCACGUUAUCCCAAAGGGAUAGGGACAACCCUUUCCACAAAAGAAGAUAAGGGGUUAGGACGUCUCAAAAGCAACAACUUGGUUCCCCAUUUGAAAUUCAAACAACACCUUUUUCACAAGAGGUGGUCAUGUAUCCAUUUCGCAAGCCACUAAAAGUCUAAAAUCGAUAUUGAGCCAUGAACAAGAACUCCAAGCCAAGAUAAAUACAUCAUGUAUCUACACUAUUAGUCUGUUGCUUGCACACUAGACAUGGAUGUGUUUCUUGUUUUGAAAAGCAGCAGCAUGCUAAAGUGAAGCUACAAAGCUUUUCUCCUCACGUGGAGUUUGUGGCCAAGAAUUAAUGCCAUUAAUCGUGGGCUGUUCUGUUGUUCACUCUUUCCUCAUCCAAAUGAUUUAUUAUUUGCCUCUAAAUUCUUUGUUGCGCAUUAAAGCCUCUCUCCUAAAAGAACUGUGAAAAUUAUAUGGAGUGGCCAGCCCUGGAAAAGCCCACGAGUCAUGGCCAUAUUCACAUGGCAAACCUUGGCCUCGUGGGGCAUCUUUUGGUGGAAACCUUCCCAUUUUCAUUUUAUUGUGCUACAUUUUUGGUUGGUGACAGCGAAUCAAUGAGAUAAGAUUUAGGCAAUAAUAAUAUUAGUACCUCAAGGAAGAGAUCCAAAUACAUGUCCCGCCUUUGAUAGUCCCCAAUAUGGUUAGCAACCACAGCCCCAAGCGCAUAAACUCCUCCGCUACCGCAUAAAAACGUCACAUGCCUGAAUCAUUCAAGAAAACGACAUCCUGCUUACUGCCUUCUCAAGACAAAAUACAAGUCACUUCAGCUCACCACUGUAUAUCAUGUACUACUAGAUGUCUACCUAGAUUCUAUCUUGGAUAACGAUAACAAGAACUACUGAAAAUUACUUAAAUAACAGGGAAUUUCCUUUGGAAUAGUUUAUCUUUGAAGGACUUUUUCAAUAGACACCAGUAGAAUGGAAAAUUUUAUUUUAAAUGAUCUUGUGGUCCUAAAUAAAAGGCUAAUUUUGUGGUCCUCGCUCCUGACACAUCUAAAGUUGUCAAGUGGGGAAAAGAAUCUGACAAAAAUUAAAAUUAAAAUGUCGCCCUAAUCCAUUAUAUAUUUUCAAUUUUCAGACUAGGCGAUUAGAGGAGUCUAUUAUGCCACGUGUCACUCCACGAAUAANNNNNNNNNNNNNNNNNNNNNNNNNNNNNNNNNNNNNNNNNNNNNNNNNNNNNNNNNNNNNNNNNNNNNNNNNNNNNNNNNNNNNNNNNNNNNNNNNNNNAUUCAACUUAAUCCAAUAAAAAUUGAGAGCCUAAGCUUCCAAAUAUCCAAUUUGGGAUAAAAACUUGCAAGGCUAACAAUACAAUGUUGUGAGUCAUAAAAGCAACAGAGAAUUAAGAACAAUCACAUGCCUUGCUUUGGAUGAAUUGCAGCAGAGAAGUGGCUAAACUGAUAAAUGGCAAUUCCUAGCUACAUAACACCAUCAUGUCCCAUUUCCAGGUCAUAAGCAACCUCACGAUGGAGAAUCUACUAACAGUCAUGUUGGGGGCAUGAGUCGGGUCCCCAACCUAUGUCAAUACGUGAGACUUUCCCAAACUCAUGGUGAGAAAAUUUUUGCAUUUGUACUUGCCAACAACCUAGUAUACCUCUGCUUCUUAAUAUCUUUGAGCACUGGAGAAGUUUAAUUAGUUGUUAAACAGAAGACUAUAUCUCCUUCCUGCCUCAGGUUGGAUACUGGAUGAACACUAGAAACUUCCAAUACCCGGCUGCUUAGCUGUAUCCACGUUAUUCCAAAGGGAUAGGGACAACCCUUUCCACAAAAGAAGAUAAGGGGAUAGGACGUCUCAAAAGCAACAACUUGGUUCCCCAUUUGAAAUUCAAACAACACCUUUUUCACAAGAGGUGGUCAUGUAUCCACUUCGCAAGCCACUAAAAGUCUAAAAUCGAUAUUGAGCCAUGAACAAAAACUCCAAGCCAUGAAUGAAUACAUCAUGUAUCUACACUAUUAGUCUGUUGCUUGCACACUAGACAUGGAUGCGUUUCUUGUUUUGAAAAGCAGCAGCAUGCUAAAGUGAAGCUACAAAGCUUUUCUCCUCACGUGGAGUUUGUGGCCAAGAAUUAAUGCCAUUAAUCGUGGGCUGUUCUGUUGUUCACUCUUUCCUCAACCAAAUGAUUUAUUAUUUGCCUCUAAAUUCUUUGUUGCGCAUUAAAGCCUCUCUCCUAAAAGAACUACGAAAAUUAUAUGGAGUGGCCAGCCCUGGAAAAGCCCAUGAGUCAUGGCCAUAUUCACAUGGCAAACCUUGGCCUCGUGGGGCAUCUUUUGGUGGAAACCUUCCCAUUUUCAUUUUAUUGUGCUACAUUUUUGGUUGGUGACAGCGAAUCAAUGAGAUAAGAUUUAGGCAAUAAUAAUAUCAGUACCUCAAGGAAGAGAUCCAAAUACAUGUCCCGCCUUUGAUAGUCCCUAAUAUGGUUAGCAACCACAGCCCCAAGCGCAUAAACUCCUCCGCUACCGCAUAAAAACGUCACAUGCCUGAAUCAUUCAAGAAAACGACAUCCUGCUUACUGCCUUCUCAAGACAAGAUACAAGUCACUUCAGCUCACCACUGUAUAUCAUGUACUACUAGAUGUCUACCUAGAUUCUAUCCUGGAUAACGAUAACAAGAACUACUGAAAAUUACUUAAAUAACAGGGAAUUUCCUUUGGAAUAGUUUAUCUUUGAAGGACUUUUUCAAUAGACGCCAGUAGAAUGGAAAAUUUUAUUUUAAAUGAUCUUGUGGUCCUAAAUAAAAGGCUAAUUUUGUGGUCCUCGCUCCUGACACAUCUAAAGUUGUCAAGUGGGGAAAAGAAUCUGACAAAAAUUAAAAUUAAAAUGUCGCCCUAAUCCAUUAUAUAUUUUCAAUUUUCAGACUAGGCGAUUAAGAGGAGUCUAUUAUGCCACGUGUCACUCCACGAAUAAAGGCAAAUAUAUGAAGUAGGUCCUUCAUGUGUCACACAAUCUCACUGUCUCAGUAUCCCCAAAUACCUAAUGCGUCAUCGUCACUCCAAUAAUCUCCAAAAUCAACGGCCUGGAUCAUUUCUACAUAUUGUGUUGUUAGCUAAUAUGUCUUUUGCUUCACCCUUCAACAUGGAAUGACAAAAGGGUUAAAAGCAC
rnacentral:lncRNA from 1 species